CAGUAACUGCGAGUGAACGGGGAUUAGCCCAGCAUCGAAGCCUAUGCCCUUUUGGGUGUAAGGCCAUGUGAUGUUUUGGAGUGUGCCUAGGGUCACUGGUCAACUCGAAGUCCAAUAUUGAAUGUGGCUUUUGUAUAUGGCCCAGAGCGGGUGAUAGGCCCGUGCGAGUUGAUUGUUUGUCAUGUCAAGUGGCCUCUAGAUGCACACUCUAUGGAGUCGGAUUGCUUGAGAAUGCAGUCCAAAGUUGGUGGUAAACUCCAUCAAAGGCUAAAUACUGGCGCGAGUCCGAUAGUAAACAAGUGCCGUGAGGGAAAGUUGAAAAGUACUCUGAAGAGAGAGUAAAUAGUACGUGAAACCACAUACAGGUAAACGGGUGGAGUCCAGCUGCGUGCUCUGAGGACUUAGCUGGUGUGUGCAUUACAGAUGUUGUAAACUGCCGCUUGCGGCUUGUCUAUGCUGACAAGUUGAGCUUUACGCUUGAUUCACGUCCGUCUUGUAGACGGUGUGGGCUGCUUGCGGUGUCUGUUUGCAUGCCAGUGUCAUUCCCCAGGACUGACAUCACAGUCAAUAUUGCUGCUAGUGUGUGGUGAUCAAAACGUGGAGUGGUAGGCCUCGAAGUUUACCCUCUACGUGGAUGGCAGGUGGCCUGUUCGUUCGCCUUUGUGCGGACGAUCGGGCUUAAAAUGUGGUUGUGGCCAGCCGAUCAUCAUGUUGUACAUUGUACACAUUUAACUAUGCAGUAUAUUGGUAAUGAGUUGCGUGCCCUAACCACACUGGUAUCAGGCUGGCUCGCGUUGAGUUAUGUGUAAAAGCGUGCUCAUCGUGUUGCGUCAGUGUGUGUGUACCUGUGUGGUGCUGGUGAGCUCUCGCAUAAACUGUGGUGUUGUGGUAGACGUUCCACCCGACCCGUCUU
rnacentral:rRNA from 1 species